GACGAACGCUGGCGGCGUGCUUAACACAUGCAAGUCGAACGGAAAGGCCCUGCUUUUGUGGGGUGCUCGAGUGGCGAACGGGUGAGUAACACGUGAGUAUCCUGCCCUUGACUUUGGGAUAACUUCAGGAAACUGGGGCUAAUAUCGGAUAGGAGCUCCUGCUGCAUGGUGGGGGUUGGAAAGUUUCGGCGGUUGGGGAUGGACUCGCGGCUUAUCAGCUUGUUGGUGGGGUAGUGGCUUACCCAGGCUUUGACGGGUAGCCGGCCUGACAGGGUGACCGGGCACAGAGGAACAGGGGAACGACCCGGACUCCAACGGGAGGCAGGAGUGGGAGAUAGUGCACAAUAGGCCGAGGCCGGAUGCAACAACGCCGGGUGGGAGAUGACGGCCUUCGGGUAGUAAACCGCCUUCGCCUGUGACGAAGCGUGAGUAACGGUAAUGGGUAAAGAAGCACCGGCUAACUACGU
rnacentral:rRNA from 1 species